rnacentral:rRNA from 1 species
UAGUGGCGAACGGGUGAGUAACACGUGGGCAAUCUGCCCUUCACUCUGGGACAAGCCCUGGAAACGGGGUCUAAUACCGGAUAACACUCUGUCCCGCAUGGGACGGGGUUGAAAGCUCCGGCGGUGAAGGAUGAGCCCGCGGCCUAUCAGCUUGUUGGUGGGGUGAUGGCCUACCAAGGCGACGACGGGUAGCCGGCCUGAGAGGGCGACCGGCCACACUGGGACUGAGACACGGCCCAGACUCCUACGGGAGGCAGCAGUGGGGAAUAUUGCACAAUGGGCGAAAGCCUGAUGCAGCGACGCCGCGUGAGGGAUGACGGCCUUCGGGUUGUAAACCUCUUUCAGCAGGGAAGAAGCGAGAGUGACGGUACCUGCAGAAGAAGCGCCGGCUAACUACGUGCCAGCAGCCGCGGUAAUACGUAGGGCGCAAGCGUUGUCCGGAAUUAUUGGGCGUAAAGAGCUCGUAGGCGGCUUGUUGCGUCGGUUGUGAAAGCC